ensembl:lncRNA
CUCUUAUCUCUUUAACCUUCACGUAGCCCUUGCCUGGAGGCACUCGAUGCGGUGGUUACUUUAUCCAGACUGCUCUCUGGAUCACAGAUCCCUGAACAAUAACAGAGAGGGGUGGCAGAGGCAAGCCUGGACUAGAAAUCAGAUCGGAAAUACUGAGAAAUGAGAGUUAAACAAAAGCUGCAUCACGUAACGAGGGGUCCUGGCUGCCAUGGGGCCCGUCCUGUCCCUGCUCAGCAACCAGCCCUGCCUUGCAGAGACCCGGCAGGGAUGCUGCAGGAGGGAAACUCCUCCGUUUGGGGCUCUAGCUCUGAGAGGGGCAUUGCUGGCAUUUACUCAGGGGCCAAGAAAGCCGCAGUCAAGCUUAGCACAUAGCUAACCUACCCCAUCCCUGCAGGUGCUCAAGGCCAGGUUGGAUGGGGCCCUGGGCAGCUGGGUCUGGUGCCUGAUUUCGUGGUUGUCUUGUGGUUUCUUGUCUUGUGGGUUUUGCUCACAGCAAGGGGUGGAACUAGGUGGUCUUUGAGAUCCUUCCCAACCCAUACCAUUCUGUGACUAUCAUUCUAAGUUUAUGGCUGGCCUAAGGGAUGUCUGACAGGGUUAAGUCCAGUUUAAUUGGUCUGCCUGCUGCAUCAAAACAGUCUAUCUAGCAGAAAGAUGAGUAAAGCAAGCAUUUGUGGAGACGGGCACUGCUCCACAGGGUCUGUGCUGUUUCAUGCAGUGAUCCUUCAAAGCCAUCAAUGCAUUACUAACGGUCUGUGAUUUCUGAGCUGCCUCCACUGAUUUAGCUGGUGUCUGUCUCACGUGUUGGAAGUGGUCCUGUCUUUGCAGGGUGAGGGCUGUGGGCACAGGAAUCCAGAACAAGCCAGUGAGCAGAGGUUUAAUCAGCACGAUCAGCUCUCGGUGUUGGGAUGCUUUUCACUGGUGAGCUAUGGGAAAUCCUCUUUGGUGUUCCAGGCAGUUUCCUGGGGGAAUGUAUAUUACAAAGAAAUGAAUAAAUAAGGGAGAAAGGAUAACGUUGCUCACACAGCAGCCAAAAUGAGGGAGCUCACCCGGGAGCUGAGCACAGGCAGAGGCAGCCGCACCACCUCCUCCUCCUCCUCCAAGAGACGGCUGCAGGCAGAGCUGAUGGACGGCCUCGGUGACACGUUGUGCUGGCUGGGAACUCAUGCUGCAGUGGAAACACCCCCCCCCCCCUUGCUGCCAGACUUAAAAUCAGAGCCACCAGGUGGUGUAAGGCUUCACUCAGGCUGUGUGAUGGAGCAGCCGGGUUGUGGCAUGCGGGAGGGGAUGCCACAAGGGAAGAAGAGGUGUUUGCAGCAGGAGCACUUGAUCUGGGGGCUUUGGGGAAGAGGCGCCGUAUUGAAUUCAUUUGGUUGUUUUAGGAAAGGAAACCCGUAGGACCCUUUGCUCCUGCUUCAGGUAAGGGCAGAAAGGCAGACAAACCCAUAGCACGCAAUACUCCCUUCACUUUUUAAGGUUUUUCUCCCUGCCUAAAACAUACCUUGCAGUUUUCAAUGCGAUACUGCCAGGAAAUGGCUUUGCAGGUAAGCAAGGCAGGUUUGGGUUUCUUUGCCAGCAGUCAGAAUGGAUUAUUUUCAUCCUGCAGGGCCAGAAGGUUUCUCUGUCCUCCCACUUCUGCAGUUCUCCCUGAAGCAUUUCUGCCUUCACAUAUGUGACUUCCACGGUCAGCGAGGGAAACCUGAGACCUGCCGGGCAGAUAUUGGUAUUCAAGGCACGUGCAGAGGAUGUGUGCAAGACUUAACCAGGCUUCUACUUGAAUUUUGUCUGGGUAACUUCCAGGUAAAGGGAGUGCACACAUCUGGCCCAGGUGGCCCAUUGUUUACUGCUGGUUCCAGGAUGGUCAGGAAGGCAGCUCAGGUUUAUUCCAGCACAGUGUUCAUGUGGUGUGGUAAUGGAUGUUAUGGGCAGGAGAAGGAUGAGAGUCUGAUGCAGCAAACAGUAAGAACAGGUUUAAAUAGAGGUCAUUGUGAACACAGUAAAUUCCUGAUUGGUUUUGUUACUACAUACUGUGCAGAAACAACAGAGGAGUCAUCACGUUGCUGUGAAAAUACACAAGAUGUGUUGUCAGCAAUAGCUGCAGUGAUUGCUCGGUGGUGUCCAGAACCAGAGAGAAGGAAAGAUCUUCAGACCAAGGGUGGCACAUGGACCUUCCUGGGGAGAUCUGAAUGGUAUCACAGCGCAAACAGCUUUUGUUCGGGUAGCCGUAGUUCAGGCUGAGGCACAGCUGACCCAAAAUAGAGCCCAGACAGACAACGCCGAGGAUGGCUCGAGGCUUUGGGAGGACAUGGCAGAGGGAACCUUACCCUGUGUGGGGCACACAGAGCCUCGCCGAUGCUACACCUGCGCUGGAAGGAUAGGGGAGAUUUCCAAAUCAAUGUACCGGUGCUCAUUUUUUGUUUGUUUGUUUGAUUUUUGUUUUCAAAACCUGUGCAGGGCUGCUGGGUUGAUGUCACCACCGCUUUGUCUGGCUUUGGCCUGAGGGGCAGGAGGGAGUCUGGUCACCCCCGUAAUCCCAGCAGCCUCCAAUGGCAACGACAGCCCUCGGAUGAAUGAAGGCAGCAGCACUGUGCAAAUUACCUUUUCUUUCUUAUCCACAGUAAGACAGAUAAUAAUCCUCCUACGGGACUAAUUACAGCCAAUGAAAAUAACUCCCACUGCCAGUAUUUGAAGGAUAACCACUUAGAUGAAAAAGAGUGAACAAUGAUUAUUAUUUUGUGCGUGGCUCUCUCUCGCCCCAUCUAUUCUGACCUCAGUAAAUCACAGUGUAAUUAAUCACUGAGGAUUAAACACCGCAGGGAAAAGAGUAGGAAAUUAUGUAUAAGCAAAACUUGAAAUGACUUUGACUUACCAUAAAUUUGGGUUAUCUGUCUCACAGAAUACGUUUCCUAGGCUGCCUCUUACGGAAUAAAUCUAUCCCGACCUGUGUACAUGAGAACUGUAUGAAUAGUGAAGACUGGAGUAUCGAUGGGUGUGUAAGAAACUAAUCAAAAAAGGCAGUGACUGUGGAAGAUGUGGGUUGGCUCUUUGGGCAUUCCAGAAGCAGAAAAAUGCACAGAGAUCCCUCAGCAGACAGGGUAGGACUUAAGUGCUCAUCUUUAAACGUGGAAACCAGCCUCAGAGAGACUAGACAUUAAACUUUAUGUUUAACAAAGUGAAAAGAAGAUGUUCACUUAGCACUGAAGGC